AUAUUAUAUAUUUUGUAUGUAUUGAAAAUAUGUAAAUACCAACAAUAUAAGAAAAAUUUCUUCUAUCUCUGUAGCACUCUUGAAAAUAAUAUCAUAUGGUCUAAUUACAAACUAAUAGAGCUUAAUUAGAAGCCAACUCGCAUUCACGUGCACUCUUGCCAGUCACGCAUGCGCACCACAGCCCCACAUCUAUUUAAAAAUUAACGUAGCACACUCGUUCAGCAAUGACUAUACUCGUAUACUCUGCCAUGGAUGCCUCGUAGGAGUUUAAAAUCGAUAUGUUUAAAAUUCAUUCAUUCAUUUCUCCUUCAAUCGCAAUUGUACUCAUACCGGGACCCACCUACCACAGACCUUUGGCGAUAAUUCUUUAUAAUUGUGUGACAUCAUCCUCUACGCCAGACGGCUCAACAGCCAUGUAGGAAUACAUGAAUGCAUUAAUAUAUGUGGCAAUCGACGGUGGCAGGCGCGACAAUCAAUUCAAGAAACACGUAUUCAUCAUCGUCGUUGGCAACAGCUGAGAGACGCCUUCUACCUUUAGCCACCAUGGGAUUUUUUUCUUGAAGCGUUUUAAAGCAUUGUGCAAAGGACAGCCGAACAAUUUAGACUCCGCCUUUUGUCUCCAAUUGUAAAUCAUUCAAAAUUUAAUACCAUUCAAAAUUUGAGUAGCAUGUCUGAUAAUGAAUAGAUAAACACUUGCAUGCGUACAUCCAUGUCUACCUACAAAUGUGUGUAAGUGAAUUUGUUUACAGAUUUGUUGUGGCAUUUGUGAUAUUGUUGAACUGUCAGUUGUAGUCCAAAAUAAAAAUGUAUGCCCCGAGGGAUAAGUUCUAUUGUCGACACUGUGUGGGUGGCUAAGUGUUAUUAUUAUUCUAUUUUAUUUGUUUGAUUAUGUAGUUCUGUUUUGACUGCUCUUUGCGGGAGUGCUAUUGUUUGUAUGUAUCUUCGCCGGCAGCUUUGACAUUGGGAUGCCAUGGAUUAAGCGCCGUCAUAAUUUACACUCAGGGUGGCUCGCAAACAAAUUCAAUAUGCUUUCAAUUGUUGCAGGUCGGAACAAAUUGGUAUGGGUUUGGUGAGUAUAAUACGAUUUUGAAAAACAAUUUGUAAACUUGACAUUGUCGGUUGAGUUCUAAUAUGAUGUCAUGGUUAAACGGAUAUAAAUUUAUUAGUAAUAAUUAUGUUAGAAAAAUAAUUAAUUUGUCUAAAUAACUUUUUCGGAUGAAAUUAUUACACAAAAUGAAUAUGUUAAACGAAUACGAAUUACAAAAGACUAUGUUUACAAAAAUUAAAUAUAAACUAAAAUGUGACAAAAAUGU